CGCGAACACGUCGACUGGCUUCGCGCGCAAAGGAGCCUGUCGACGAUCUGGUACAGCGAGGAGGAGUCCAGGGUGCCCUACACCCCGUACUACCCCACGCACUACCUCUACGUCGGCGAGAAGAAGGCCAAGUAAGGGGAAGGGUCCACAUUCUUUAACGACGUGAACGUCGUCAAUAUUACUGGGACGGGUUUCCGGGAUGCAUGACCUAGACUUACAGGGUUCUUAGGUACGUGUUGGGGGAGAGAGAGAGUUGGGGGAGAGAGGGGCGGGGACGGCCGACGGCUGCGGCUGAGGAUCGGAUCGUCCCCCGCACCCCGAGCCUUCGCUGGGCCCUUUCCGACGUGGGGAGGGCGAGCGAACGCGAAUUGGCUCAAUGUCUGAAAGAUAGUUCACUGCGGUGACGCGCUUUUUAUAAACAAACCGCAAUUUACUCGC
rnacentral:lncRNA from 1 species